CCCUUAGAUGUUCUGGGCCGCACGCGCGCUACACUGACGAAUGCAACGAGCUUAUAACCUUGGCCGAAAGGUCUGGGUAAUCUCCAAAUUUCGUCGUGAUGGGGAUAGAUUAUUGCAAUUAUUAAUCUUCAACGAGGAAUGCCUAGUAAGCGCAAGUCAUCAGCUUGCGUUGAUUACGUCCCUGCCCUUUGUACACACCGCCCGUCGCACCUACCGAUUGAAUGGUCCGGUGAAAUCUCCGGACUGGCGUGAGUCGGAGCAAUCUGACAAACACCGGAAAGUUGAUUAAACCUUACCAUUUAGAGGAAGGUGAAGUCGUANCA
rnacentral:rRNA from 1 species